CCUACGGGUGGCAGCAGUGGGGAAUAUUGGACAAUGGGGGGAACCCUGAUCCAGCCAUGCCGCGUGUGUGAAGAAGGCCCUCGGGUUGUAAAGCACUUUCAGUGAGGAAGAACGCCUGGUGGUUAAUACCCAUCAGGAAAGACAUCACUCACAGAAGAAGCACCGGCUAACUCCGUGCCAGCAGCCGCGGUAAUACGGAGGGUGCGAGCGUUAAUCGGAAUUACUGGGCGUAAAGCGCGCGUAGGUGGCUUGAUAAGCCGGUUGUGAAAGCCCCGGGCUCAACCUGGGAACGGCAUCCGGAACUGUCAAGCUAGAGCGCAGGAGAGGAAGGUAGAAUUCCCGGUGUAGCGGUGAAAUGCGUAGAGAUCGGGAGGAAUACCAGUGGCGAAGGCGGCCUUCUGGACUGACACAGACACUGAGGUGCGAAAGCGUGGGUAGCAAACAGGAUUAGAUACCCCGGGUC
rnacentral:rRNA from 1 species